AACGAACGCUGGCGGCAGGCCUAACACAUGCAAGUCGAACGCCCCGCAAGGGGAGUGGCAGACGGGUGAGUAACACGUGGGAACCUUCCCUAUAGUACGGAAUAGCCCAGGGAAACUUGGAGUAAUACCGUAUACGCCCGAAAGGGGAAAGAAUUUCGCUAUAGGAUGGGCCCGCGUAGGAUUAGCUAGUUGGUGAGGUAAUGGCUCACCAAGGCGACGAUCCUUAGCUGGUUUGAGAGAACGACCAGCCACACUGGGACUGAGACACGGCCCAGACUCCUACGGGAGGCAGCAGUGGGGAAUAUUGGACAAUGGGCGCAAGCCUGAUCCAGCCAUGCCGCGUGAGUGAUGAAGGCAUUAGGGUUGUAAAGCUCUUUUGCCGGGGACGAUAAUGACGGUACCCGGAGAAUAAGUCCCGGCUAACUUCGUGCCAGCCGCCGCAGUAAUAC
rnacentral:rRNA from 1 species